GGGGGGGGGGGGGGGGGGGCGGGGGAGGGGGGGGGCGGGGGGGCGGGCGGGGGGGUUGCGUCUCUGAUGUUAGCGGCGGGCGGGUGGGUAACACGUGGGUGACCGCCCUAGAAGACUGGGAUAACUUCGGGAAACCGGGGCUCAUACCGGAUAAUAUUGUGAACCGCAUGGUUCAAAAGUGAACGACGGUCUUGCUGUCACUUAUAGAUGGAUCCGCGCUGCAUUAGCUAGUUGGUAAGGUAACGGCUUACCAAGGCAACGAUGCAUAGCCGACCUGAGAGGGUGAUCGGCCACACUGGAACUGAGACACGGUCCAGACUCCUACGGGAGGCAGCAGUAGGGAAUCUUCCGCAAUGGGCGAAAGCCUGACGGAGCAACGCCGCGUGAGUGAUGAAGGUCUUCGGAUCGUAAAACUCUGUUAUUAGGGAAGAACAUAUGUGUAAGUAACUGUGCACAUCUUGACGGUACCUAAUCAGAAAGCCACGGCUAACUACGUG
rnacentral:rRNA from 1 species